CUUUUGUGGGGUCAGUGCCCACAGGGUUGAGCACCACGUGCCUGGCUGGGCAGUGCUCCUGCCAGGGUCCCCUUCUCCACUGUAGGAAACACGGCUACUCCUGCAGCCGCGCCUGCUCUGCUGCAUCUCCAGCUCCUGCCAGGCAUGGUGUGCGUGGCCCCAAGACAGGGAGUUUCCAUGGAGACGGGGUUUCACCGUGUUAGCCAGGAUGGUCUCGAUCUCCUGACCUCGUGAUCCGCCCGCCUCGGCCUCCCAAAGUGCUGGGAUUACAGGCGUGAGCCACCACGCCCGGCCCCCAGAGCCUUAGUCUCAGAAUCACACCCACCCCACGCCCAGGGCGUCUGUCACAGCUUUCCAAUCCAUGAGCCCAUGAAUCGGACUGGACACAGAUAAACUGGGACAGGACGCCGGGUGGCAAAGGCCGGGACAGCUGGGCCACUCCCUCCAAAAGGCCCCAGACGCAGCUGCAUCCUGGAGUCCUUCUGAGAAAUGUGGGACCUGCCCCAGCUCCACCCCAGGUGAGGGGCACCAGCCAGCUCUAGAGCUGCCUACCUUCCCUGUCAGGUGCACAGGUCAGCGCCAGGCCAACCCCAGAGCGAGAACACCUGUGCUGGACUGAGCUGGAGCAGCAGGGUGGCCUGCAUCGGGGCAGCGAGGGAGGCGUUGGAUGGAGCCACCCCACGGCUCCUCUGUGAAGGUCUGCACGUCACUCAGAAAGUUGAAGCAAACCAAGCAGGGUUGGAGCCCACAGUUCACAGCCGGCUGCACAGGGGAUGCACCAAGCACAGUUUCCUAUGACAAGUGGAAACCUGUGCGCCACAGCAAAACUCCGUCACCACAGCAGCAGAUGGCUCCGAAGAAGUGGAGCGUUUUCAUCAGGUUCAACUUUGAAACCUCCACCACCACCAUCACCAGCACCGCUGUGUCGUGCUGAUAACUUGAGGACAGGCAGGACAAGGAGCCCAGGUGCGGCCCGGAGCCCACUGAAGUCUUCACUGUCGGAACCAAGACCUUUUCCUGGACACCCUUUCCGCCGGACCUGUGGGGCCCGGGCCGUUCCUACCGGCUGCUUCACGGGGCAGGAGGGCACCUGGAAUCCCCCGCCAGGUCCCUGCCCCAGCGCCCGGCACCUGAUCCCUGCAGGGCCCCCAGGGUGGAGCAGCAGCCGUCUGUGGAGGGUGCCGCGGCCCUGCGCAGCUGCCCCAUGUGCCAGAAGGAGUUCGCCCCCAGGCACUUCAACUCCCGCCCCCACCUGUGUCCUGCUGGCUCCUAAGCUGCCCCCCACGUGUGGGUUGCGUCUGAGAUGUGGGGCAGGCGCCACUCACGGAAAAAAGGCAUCAGAGGAGCUUCCACAUCAUCGGAACAUUUUAUUCCUCAGGACGCUACACGCUCACUUUCCUGGCGGAGCAGGUCAGUGCAUCGAGUUCUGUUUCCGUGGAAAAUGUGCACCUUGGAAACCGCAUGACAGCCCCCUCGGCAGGGUCCCCGCGGAUCCGCCGCGACGCAGGCACAGCAGCAAGUUCCUCCAGCACGAAGCUGGCCUGCCCGGGCCCAGGUGUGAGGGACUGUUCUGCUCCCAGCAGCGCCCGCUGACGCUUCCCUCUGCGGUCUCGGCGCAAGCGUCUGUCCCUGGCCGCCCUCGGAGCCGUGCCCAGCCUGGCAUGCAUAUGCGGUGGUUAAGGAUACAGUUAAAGGGUCAAUCACGCGUGUCCACGACAGAGACGCACGCGGCCUCACACCGACUCCUCGGUGGACAGCAAUAAUGGGUUGAUAUACUCGAAGCCUUCGAACUCUGACUGGUCGAUCCUCUUUAUGGCAUCCCUGUGGGCACAGGUGGCAGGGGGUGGGGGGUGACUGUGUGUUCAUUCCCUUGGGGGAAGCGGAGUUACGUUCGCAUAAGAAUCCUCCCCCAACGCCCACUGGAGAGAUGACACCAGGCGGGUGGGACUCAAGGGCAGGCCGGGUCACCAGCUGCCCAAGGUGCCGGCCUGCCAUGGGGCUGCCCGAGGGGUGCUCCAGGGACCCGCACCCAGUGGGACUCACUCAUCGUCUGGGGUCAGCUGCACGGGCUCGCUGGUGAACUGUGUGUCAAAGUUGUCCAGACCGUAGUCGUCCGUGAUCUGUGGCUGGAAUGGAGGGAGCGCCUGCUUCUUCUCCAGCUUGGAAAAACAAUAGGAGAAGGGUCAGCUCCGCGCGGGCAUCAUCCCUACCAGAUUGAGUGUUUUGCAUGCACUUCAAUCACAAAAUGAAACAGUAAGAAACUCAGCAUUUCAAUCUG
rnacentral:sRNA from 1 species